rnacentral:tRNA from 1 species
GAUGGAGUAGCCCAGUGGUGGGCGCGUGUAUGGCGGAACAUGAGGUCGCGGGUUCGAGUUCCGGCCUCUCCAUUU